CCUACGGGAGGCAGCAGUGAGGAAUAUUGGACAAUGGGCGAGAGCCUGAUCCAGCCAUGCCGCGUGCAGGAAGACUGCCCUAUGGGUUGUAAACUGCUUUUAUACGGGAAGAAACACUCCCUCGUGAGGGAAUUUGACGGUACCGUACGAAUAAGCAUCGGCUAA
rnacentral:rRNA from 1 species